GACUGGAUUUGACAGCGGGCAGAGGAAGUAUGUAAGCAUGCAGUGAGUCGUGAGUUCUCACUAUAAUCUGAGCUUUCAAGAACUUAAAUGGCGAAAAUAACAAUUACGCUCUCGCUGCCUGAUCGAAGUACAGUAAAUCAGCUUUAUCCGAAAACAAAGUUUUUCGGACGAGACAUCACUCCGAAGCCGUUGUUCCGAGGCUCGCGGAAAUAGUGGUGCACGCAAAUCGGGAAUAGCGUGAAAAGUGUUGCGUAGUUCAUGCGAAAUUUCUAAUCCGCAACUAAGGUUUGCAACAAUGUGAAUGCGUGCCGCACGUUGCAGACACAAAAAUUCCCGGCAGGCUAAGCAUGUAGAAAGCAUGGUUUUUCCCCGUUUGGACGAGAGUUCGAUUCUCUCCUGGUCCACU
rnacentral:tmRNA from 1 species